rnacentral:lncRNA from 1 species
CUGAAGCCCGCACUGGGCCCGGGGCCCUUUGGUGAGUGUGGGUCUGCCAGACUCACAGGUGAAAGUGGGUGGGCAAGUAGGGUGUGUGGUGCAGGACUGUAAUCCCAGCACGGAGGAGGCUGAGGCAGGAGGGUACUCGAGAGUUGAAGCCCAGCCUGAGGAGCUCAGUGCCAGCCUGAAGUACAUAGUGAGACCCUGUCUCAAAAGAAAGGAAAGGAAAGGGAAAGAGAAAGGGAAAGGAAGGGAAAGGAAAGAAAAGCAAGGGAAAGUGGGUGGGUAGAAAUACUCUGCUGACCCCAGCGGUCUCUGGUCUGUCUGUGUCUCAGGGAGCCCUGAAGUGAAGAGCGGCAACAAUGGCCAGUUGGAGGCCAGUUACUGAGGAGCAUCAAGGCAGAGCACUUUGGGACCGGCGCGGAGCGGCGAGGAGACGCUGUCGGGGUACUGCAGGCCAGGUGGGGGCGCCCACUGUGCGUGUGCCGCGCCGCCUCUCUAGGAUGGGGGAAGGUGACUGUGCCCUGUGGGACACGGCGAUUGGCUGGGAGCGGAGGGGCUGGCAGGAAAACUUAGUGGCGCGCUG